AUACAUUAUAGCUCUUUCAGAAUUUUUCUGGUAGGUUUUCUGACUUUUACUGGAAACCAUC
rnacentral:snRNA from 1 species